GAAGAAAGUGGUCAGUCAGAAACUCCACAUACUUUGCAGAGGUCAUCUUUACACCUUCGGGAUUCCAGCCCAAAACAUGACUCCACCAUCGGCUUGCUGACGUCGCAGCCUUGUUGGAACAGGGUGGCCGUCCACCAACCAUCCACUACUCCAUCCAUCUGGACCAUCCAGGGUUGUACGGCACUGGAUGGUCCAGAUGACUGGACUGUCUGAAAAUUAGUCUUCAUGUAUUUUUCUGCCCAAUGCAGCAGUUUCUGCUUGUGAGCAUUGGUUAGUGGUGGCCGAAUCGAAGGUUUAUGCACAGUUGCAAGACUCUGGAGGACUCUACACCUUGAUGUCUGUGGGACUCCAGAGGCACCAGCAGCUUCAAAUAUCUGUUUGCUGCUAUGUAAUGGUAUUUAGGCAGCUGCUCUCUUGAUCCGAUGCAUGGAUCUGGCAGAAAUCUUCCUCAAUGUGCCUUUAUCUGCACGAACCUCUCUGUGAUCUGAAUCAGCCACAAAUCUCUUAAUAGUGCGAUGAUAACGCUUAAGUUUUCGUGAAAUAUCUAAUGUUUUCAUACCACGUCCAAGGCAUUGAACUAUUUCACUCUUUUUGGCAGCAGAGAGAUCCUUUUUCUUCCCCAUAUUGCAUGAAAAUGGUGCUCUGUUUAAUAAUGUGGAACACCCUCCUUUAGUAGUUUUUCUUUAAAUUGGGCUCACCUGGCAAUCUAAUUAUCACAGGUGUCCGAGAUUGUUUUCAGUGAUCAAAAGAGCCCUGAGACACAAUGCCAUCCAUGAGUUAAACUGAAAAACAAAAUAUUUAAUCUUUGUGACACAAAUAGAAUUUGCAUAAUAAUUUGGAACAGGGUGUAGUGUGU